rnacentral:rRNA from 1 species
CCUACGGGUGGCUGCAGUGGGGAAUAUUGGACAAUGGGGGCAACCCUGAUCCAGCCAUGCCGCGUGUGUGAAGAAGGCCCUCGGGUUGUAAAGCACUUUCAGUGAGGAAGAACGCCUGGUGGUUAAUACCCAUCAGGAAAGACAUCACUCACAGAAGAAGCACCGGCUAACUCCGUGCCAGCAGCCGCGGUAAUACGGAGGGUGCGAGCGUGAAUCGGAAUUACUGGGCGUAAAGCGCGCGUAGGUGGCUUGAUAAGCCGGUUGUGAAAGCCCCGGGCUCAACCUGGGAACGGCAUCCGGAACUGUCAAGCUAGAGUGCAGGAGAGGAAGGUAGAAUUCCCGGUGUAGCGGUGAAAUGCGUAGAGAUCGGGAGGAAUACCAGUGGCGAAGGCGGCCUUCUGGACUGACACUGACACUGAGGUGCGAAAGCGUGGGUAGCAAACAGGAUUAGCUACCCUAGUAGUC